GCCUUCGUGGUGUAGUGGACAACACGCUCGACGCGAAUUUAGAGGUCCGUGGUUCGAUUCCCGGCGAAGGCG
rnacentral:tRNA from 1 species